rnacentral:rRNA from 1 species
CGUAGGGUGCAAGCGUUAAUCGGAAUUACUGGGCGUAAAGCGUGCGCAGGCGGUGAUGUAAGACAGGUGUGAAGUCCCCGGGCUUAACCUGGGAACUGCAUUCGUGACUGCAUCGCUGGAGUGCGGCAGAGGGGGAUGGAAUUCCGCGUGUAGCAGUGAAAUGCGUAGAUAUGCGGAGGAACACCGAUGGCGAAGGCAAUCCCCUGGGCCUGCACUGACGCUCAUGCACGAAAGCGUGGGGAGCAAACAGGAUUAGAUACCCUGGUAGUCCACGCCCUAAACGAUGUCAACUGGUUGUUGGGUCUUCACUGACUCAGUAACGAAGCUAACGCGUGAAGUUGACCGCCUGGGGAGUACGGCCGCAAGGUUG